rnacentral:rRNA from 1 species
CGGAGGGUGCAAGCGUUGUCCGGAUUUAUUGGGUUUAAAGGGUGCGUAGGCGGCUAAUUAAGUCAGCGGUGAAAUUCCACAGCUUAACUGUGGAACUGCCAUUGAUACUGGUUGGCUUGAGUACAGAUGAGGUAGGCGGAAUUGACAGUGUAGCGGUGAAAUGCUUAGAUAUUGUCAAGAACACCUACUGCGAAGGCAGCUUACUAAGCUGUAACUGACGCUGAGGCACGAAAGCGUGGGGAUCAAACAGGAUUAGAUACCCUGGUAGUCCACGCCGUAAACGAUGAUUACUCGAUGUGUGCGAUAGACAGUACGCGUCCAAGCGAAAGCGUUAAGUAAUCCACCUGGGGAGUACGCCCGCAAGAGUG